rnacentral:lncRNA from 1 species
CCUGUGCACCCAGGGCUCGCUGCUCUUCCUCAGGAGUGUUUGGAUGGGGAUGCAGGCAAGGAGGAGGACAAGGAGGAGAGGGGGAGAGGAGACUGGUGAAAUGCGCGCACGGACGCAAGCCUGCACGCACGCACGCACACUGACCCUGGAGGCUGCGUUCCCCUUUAAAAAGUCCCAUCCCACACAGAUACGCAGAGCUCAUGCAGGAUCUGCUGCGGCAGAGGGGGAACACUGCUGAGCUGUGCAGUUUGUGCUGCCAGCACUCGUGCAAAGGAGGGGGGGGGGCGUAUACUGGAGGAGGAGGAGGAGAGGGAGGAAGAGGAGAGAGAGUGCAAACAAUGUCAUUCUGUUCAGGAGGCAAUGCUGCAGUCAACUUUGCCUCGCCACGAGGACACAGCACCGGCGCCCGCCGGGCUCAAAGUUUCGCAGCCGACCAUCCGGACAGAGUCCUCCAGACCGGAGAGCAGGAGCAGCCUCCCAGUCCAGCUGUUGGUGGCCUGCAGGAACAUGCCUUGACUUGUUGCACUGGCUGAGUGCAACAAAGGGAGGAGAGCGAGAGAGAGACACCCGGAGGCAGAGAGAGAGAGAGAGAGAGCCUUGAGGUCAGCAGUGUGCUGGUUUGAGCCCUGCAACAGCAAGGACAGACUCCCGCUGAUGUCAGACCCUCCCUGGACGGCAGCUCCUGGACAGCGGAGCUCCAGCGCUCCAUCACUGAGAGGUGAGUGUUUUGGAAACUGUGUGUGACCUAUAAAAUUACACUACAGAAGCCAUAAUCUGCUUUGUCAGUAGUGUACCAGCACAACUAAAACAGCAUCAGAUGUGUACUUUAAAAUGCUCGUUUAAGACGUUCUGCUCCAAAAACCUCCAUACUGACUAUUGCUGCCAUGAUAAUACAAAAGGUCACACCGUGAUGAACUGGCAUGGACACUCAAUUACCAAUCGCAGUGACACACUGACCGCCACGCUGACGGAGCACCACUGGUGGCCUUUCAACACCACCCCAGGGAGUCGGCCGUCUUUUGGCCACGAGGGCAGCGUUCCACCACAACUAACUGCACACGCAACACCUGCGCGCUAUCGAGUCGAUCUGUGACGUUCAUGGCUAAUUGGCGUUUGUGAUCUUGGACAGAUUUGCUGUUACUGGGGCAACUGUGUUGUCUGGUAACCAGGUGUUUGCAGAAGUUAACAGUUACAGACCAGAAUAAACGCCGGUGUCGUGUUGGCCGUAACAUGAUUGGAAGCAUGACGCUAACGGUGUUGGUAGCCGAUACCAAAAGGAUGACAACAGCCAUGAUGUCACACAGUGUUUCUGCAUCUGAAGGAUUCAGGAAGGAGGUUCUGCUGUGUUUACUGCAUGUGAAGAUACGUAAAUACUCAAACAGACAGGGAGUGUGUAAUAUAAAGAGUGACACCAGUUUGCUCAAUCAGUGACACAAAAUACAGCAAAUACAUUUAAUUUACAGACUUUCUGUUUAUUUUGAAAUGGUGAUGAUGCACAUGCUGCCUCAGCGUAGUUCAGAAUAAAGGAAGACAACGGAACCAAAGAAAGUGUAAACAUCACUGUUAACACCAGCGAAAACACAGAUUCAAAAGUAAAAGAUCAGAGAGAUUAUAUAUACUGGCGCCAUUGAUCAUCCCCAACACCUCAUCCCCUUAAUAAUGAACCAAUAUUAGAUUAAUUAGCAGACUGGAGAAGGUGCAGCCAACAUUUAGCAUCGCUGAUUGGGCGUAUCAGGUGGAUUGAUGGGUAAAUGAGGUGGAAAAUUAUUCACUAACAAAUGAAACACUACAAGCAGAUGUAACAACUCAUAAUUACAUCAGGCUUUGCCGCCCAGCCGUGAGUGUAGAGAACAAAGCUGCAGGAGCUGGGGCGCAUAUUCAACCACACUCCUCUAAUGCUCGCACACUGACCCCUUUCAGAGGUUAAUGCACAGAAAAACAACAAGAUGGAAUCCGAUCGAUGCAGCCGAGGCCUGAAAACACGAGUACGACGCAGCGAUGCGUCACCGCUGCUCCGGCUGGGUGUCUGACGCAGCGGGGGCGGCCGACCGUUCCACUUCUGGUCGUUUCUCUGGAAUUCCUCAACUCCGUAUUGGGGAUGACGUCAAGCUCUGGGCAGGAAGGAAUUCCUGUCAUGUGUCUGGAGCGGGUGGCACCAGGUUGACCAGAAAAAAGCUUUCCACCUCUGGGAAACAGGUCGCGAGGCGUGGCCAUGUAUUACUCGUCAAUCACUCGUAGGGCCGACUCCUUCGCUGACAGGAGUCGUCAGACACUUGACGUUUUUGUGAAAUUACAAUGGAUGAUGGGUAAAAAAAAAAGAAAAAAAAGAGGAUCCGGCUGCCACUAAAGUGAGGAAUGCUGUUAUACAACCAAUGAUGCGUCACAAACCACAGACCCGGGGAACUACAAAUAGACCCAGAAGACAGAGCAGAGAUAAAGGAUCAUCCAUCUGUAAUUUCUCCGCUCUUCCUCUCAUAUUUCCCUCCCUUCAUUCAUCUGCUGCAGGUCGCUCUCUAGUGUCCACGCCGUCCUGCCAGCAGAGUCCCGCUGGGAGAGGACACUAAGGGACGUUCAGCCGGCCCAAAAAUAGCACUGCGGCGGACAAAUGUAAGUGAUACCGAAGGGGUUUAGGUGCACGGCCAUGUGAACAUAAAGCCACGAGCACACACGGGCACACGUAUAAAUAGAUGAAAGGUGAAUCGAACCGAGUUUCUGUUGCAAAAUCAUGAGUCAUGACAAGUCUAUUCUUAGUUCGGGGGGGUGUUUUUGUGUGCAUUAGUGAUGCUGCGGAACAGGAGACAGGACAGACACCAGUGUUUGCAGCCAUGUUUUCGAGAGAAGUUUCGCUUCGACCCCAGAGCGACGAGCCCCAAAUGCAGCUGAUUGUUGUUCAAUUAUUCCUCAGAUCUUCAGCUGCAGUUUGGACGCUGCCGGGGAAGUGCAGGCGGCGAGGGACGGCGGCUCCUGUGGGUGUUUCUCUGGCAGUGUCUUAGCUGGUUGUUGUGAGGAGUGAGAACGAAGCAAUCAGCAAGUAUACUGCCGCAGAAAUUCUUCGCAAUAAGAGCCCCCCCCCCCCCCCCCCCCCCCCCCACAGGGAGAAACGAGCGCCGCCCCCGCCCCCCUCCUCCUGGAGCCAACGCGGAUCACGCUGCCAUCGUGAAGAGAGUGGCCGUUUUCGUGUAGGUGGCCUCUACAAUAUUUACCACUGGAGCAGUUACAGACUUUAACCUGCCUGUGAGUUUUCCGAAUCGGUCCUCUACUGCCCCCUUGUGACCGACACAGCGCCACUGCGUGCAUUUAUCCCACCGAAACCACAGCAGAAUGUAAACGUUUGUAACUGUGUGUUGCAUGUUUAAUGGUUGUCUCACUUGUGGCCAUUGGCCAAAACCUGAUGCGCAAAUAAAAGUUACACAAUGAACAGUUCAUUCGGUAGCUUGUUGUGUUGUACGCAAAACGGUGCUGCCGAGCAAACACAUCACCUUUCGAUUCUUAAGGUUCAUGUGUGUUGGUUUUUCUUUUAUGAGGUUUAGUUUUCCACCUGACUUGUUGCCUUCCAUUAACACAGCGUUUUCUAUUAGAAACUGUAGCUGAAUGCCUUUUUAGUGAUAGAUGCUGCGAGAUAAGAGAGCGGCUGUAACGCGGCUGCUUAAAACAUGAUUCACAUCCCGUUUGGUGCUUCAUCGCUCUGCAGGUCAGUUGGCUUGUUUGCCUGUAGGAGGAGGUGCAGUGAAACAGACUUUUGUCUGCAGCUCCUAACAGGGUUGUGGGUCUGCUACUGUCAGGAUAUGCAGAUUACUCCUAUUAACAGCUUCCAAACUGCUUUUUUUGCUGUCUCAUGGGCUUAAAUAUGACUCAGCAAAUGGGAAACAAUUAGGGCUCAACAGAAUGAAUCUGCCCAGAAGAGGACCGGGCUUGGUUUAAAUGUGACAGGAGCACAAAUACGCUGGCGGAAAAUGGAAAAUUAACUUCUGUAGUGACGUGGAUGCCUGAAAGGACGGUCAUUCAUGAAAUGGAGUGCCGACCUUAAAACCACUGAACGCUGUGAGGUGUGUCCAGCUUGGUGAGCUGUCCUUCAGCCAGCGGUUGCUAUCGUGAUUCAUGCAUUAUUAUAAGUCCAUUCUCUUCAAUCUAAUCUAGUCCGAACCAGUGAGCGAGUCUUUACUGGAAGUGCGCAGCACGUCCAUCCAACAGGAACUCUGAGUCAGGCUGACGUGUUUAUCGUGCUGUAAAGUUAAAUACAAUCAAGCUAUGUUGUAUAACGACUGGUCCGUGCACACGUCUGUCCUUACAAACAUCACAGAUGUGCACAUGAGGUGCAUGUGAUUUAUAUAAAGCAAAAUGAAUUUAGAAAAGUUCCACCAAUACUGAACCACAGAGCUUGACUAAUUCAAAGUUAUGGUCUAUUUUUGACUCAACAAUUUCUAUUUUGAGCAGUAUUGUGCAAGGACGUGGUUCACUCAAAAAAUAAAAAAUAAAAAAAAAUCCACAAAUGAUCCACUCAACACCCUUUUGAAGUUUAUAGGUAAAGUGCUGUUGAGAACAACCUUCCACCACUGAUGUAAAGACCACAUGCUCCACCUCUAAUUCCAUUAAAUGAAGCUGGACUUUAUCGUCGUGGGGAUAUAAAAGCAAUCAUAGGCUGGAAGGCACGAAGCUUUCAGGAUAUAAAUAUGGUGCAUGUGAUGCUGUUUUGAGCAGAAACGGUUGGAGGCAUCUAAGGAAGAGUGCAAAGACCUUCUAAUCUAAUCCAUCAUAGCGGUAGCCUGCAUGUGACCAGCUCAUUAAGCACAAAUGUGAGCGCAUAAGCUCCAGGUUAUCAGGGCAAUGGUGCCUCGUUGGGCCCAAACAUGAGGUAAAUGAGGCUGGAAUUUAAAUGCCACGGGUUACAAAAACACUUUUGAGUGAACUAUCCCUGUAAGACAGACGGAACCGUGCGCGCAAUGACGGAAUGUUUCGCCGAAACUUUGUCUGAGAAGAAAAAAAAGAAGAAAUACAUACUGCAUGUCGUCAUGCGCCCUGCGAUAGAGUGACACAAGCGCAGACAGAAAUAAACGUGCACGAGCACAGAGGCAUUACCAGCUGACCGACUUCUGCUUUUCGCUGCGUCUGGCGCAACAAGGGGCGCAGAAGCGGUGAAGGAGGAGUUAAGCGCACAAGAAAAAGCGCGUUUGGCUGCCUGAGAACUAAAGCAUGGGGAUGUUUGUUAAAGUCACAUGGCUCAACUCUCCGUAAAUGCCAAACUUUCACGGAGAUGU